AGGUGUAGUGACUACGUGGAUUAAUGGUAGGCAUUAAUUUUAGUAAAUAUAAGGAACAUUACAUUGAUAGGAUAAGUGUUUCGUACUAUUAGUGCGUGAAUUUGUUAAAAUUCCACAUUUUUGUGCAUUGGAUUUGUCGUAAGUUAAUUGACAUAAGUUCAAGGACAAUAUUACUUAUGACGUUAUAAGUAUUUAUGCUAUGUUUAACAAGUGAUAAGUAAGUGUCGUGGAGGUUAAACGAAUCGGAGAAAAUAAGUUUUGUCAAAGUUUAGAAAUUGAACAAGUUAUAACGAACUAUAUGGAAUUUUAGUCACAUUCAAGUAUGCAAAUAAAGAGAUCAUGGUAUAAAAGUUUGAGGUCCCGAAAAUUAUUUAAGACUCGAAAGUGAAUGACGGUGAUUGGAAAUAAUAUUUUGUGUGUACAAAAAGGGACUGUGGACUACUGCUAUGUCACAUGAUCAUGACAAUGACUAUGGAGUGUAUUAAAAAUGAUUACUUUAUAAAUGAAUUGAGAUUAAGAAAUUAAUUACUUGGGUAAUUUAUUAAAUUAGUUUUAGUGGGAACAAUUAAUGAACUAGUGGCUUAAUGUGGUAGCACUAGUCCACGUGGGUGCAUGGGCUGAAGAGAAAGUGAUGACUAUUACCACCUAUAUGUAUCUAUCUAGACUUGUUGCAAAACACAAGGCCUAAUUGGGUGGGCCCCACUGCCAUAAAGGUAAGUUUACUCACCUAUUUUUCUUAUAUAUCCUACUGAAGGUAAAGGAAAUUUCAGAUUUCAAUUUUUAGGGAGGAGCAACGUACAGUGCAUUUUCUUUCUUUCUAAAGAAUAAAGCAAAACAUUAUUUCUCUUUUGGAAAGAAAAAUCAUAUGGAAUUGGGGCAGCAACCUUCUUGCACGAGAUUCAUUCUCAUAUGAAAUUACAUAUUCACAUGGAGUAUUUUAAACCAGCAACGUGAAUUCUUUUGGCAAGCAUCAACAUGUUUUAUUCUAUUUUAGGCAGAUUGGGGAAAAAGGAAAAUUUGAGGUGUGAAAUUGUUGUAACAUUCAAGUGAUUAGCAAGGUUAAGAAGCCAAGUUGAUUAAGGCUAAAAGAGCGACGAGACGAACGGGUUACGAAUAGCCGCUAACAGGUACAGACGCACAGUUUGGUGAUCCACCAGUUUAGGACACCCUCUUCUGCUGUUUGGAGUGCUCCUCUUAUUCCGGAGCCUACAUUUUGGUAUAUAUACUUGUUUGAUGCAUAUGUAUAUAUUUGUUCAGGGGUACGGCGGGGCCCUGUUCUGCCAUAUGAUUAGUUUGGUCUGUUUAGAGGUCUGUAGACGUAUUUGUGGGUGUGUGUGCCUACUUCUGUACGGGUGUGUUUGGUAUGAUCCCAUUCGUUAUGGCAGCCUUGUCGGCUUUUGGUACAUUUGAUAGCCUUGUCGGCUUUUGAUACAUUUGACAGCCUUGCCGGCUUUUUGAUAUAUAUACG